rnacentral:rRNA from 1 species
AGAGUUUGAUCCUGGCUCAGGAUGAACGUUGGCGGCGUGCCUAAUACAUGCAAGUCGAACGAAGACUGUAGUAAUACUGUCUUAGUGGCGAACGGGUGAGUAACGCGUGGGUGACCUGCCCCGAAGUGUGGGAUAACAGUUCGAAAGGAUUGCUAAUACUGCAUAAUAUCCAAGAGAUUAGACGCUUUUGGAUUAAAGGAGUAAUUCGCUUCGGGAGGGGCCCGCGUCCCAUCAGCUAGUUGGUAAGGUAAUGGCUUACCAAGGCGAUGACGGGUAGGGGACCUGAGAGGGUGGCCCCCCACAAUGGAACUGAAACACGGUCCAUACACCUACGGGUGGCAGCAGUAGGGAAUAUUAGUAAUGGGCGAAAGCCUGAACUAGCAACGCCGCGUGUGCGAAGAAGGCCUUCGGGUUGUAAAGCACUUUUUGAGAGGAUGAGGAAGGACGGUACUCUCAGAAUAAGUCUCGGCUAACUACGUGCCAGCAGCCGCGGUAACACGUAGGAGGCAAACGUUAUCCGGAUUUACUGGGCGUAAAGCGCG